rnacentral:rRNA from 1 species
GACGAACGCUGGCGGCGUGCUUAACACAUGCAAGUCGAACGGAAAGGCCCUGCUUUUGUGGGGGUCUCGAGUGGCGAACGGGUGAGUAACACGUGAGUAACCUGCCCUUUACUUUGGGAUAACUUCAGGAAACUGGGGCUAAUACCGGAUAGGAGCUCCGGCUGCAUGGUGGGGGUUGGAAAGUUUCGGCGGUUGGGGAUGGACUCGCGGCUUAUCAGCUUGUUGGUGGGGUAGUGGCUUACCAAGGCUUUGACGGGUAGCCGGCCUGAGAGGGUGACCGGCCACAUUGGGACUGAGAUACGGCCCAGACUCCUACGGGAGGCAGCAGUGGGGAAUAUUGCACAAUGGGCGGAAGCCUGAUGCAGCAACGCCGCGUGCGGGAUGACGGCCUUCGGGUUGUAAACCGCUUUCGCCUGUGACGAAGCGUGAGUGACGGUAAUGGGUAAAGAAGCACCGGCUAACUACGUG